rnacentral:rRNA from 1 species
CUACACGACCGUACCGCAAACCGACACUGGUGCGCGAGAUGAGUAUUCUAAGGCGCUUGAGAGAACUCAGGAGAAGGAACUCGGCAAAUUGACACCGUAACUUCGGAAGAAGGUGUGCCUUUAGUAGGUGAACCUGUACAAGGGGAGCCCAAUGAGGUUGCAAAAAAUCGGUGGCUGCGACUGUUUAAUAAAAACACAGCACUCUGCAAACACGAAAGUGGACGUAUAGGGUGUGACGCCUGCCCGGUGCUGGAAGAUUAAAUGAUGGGGUGCAAGCUCUUGAUUGAAGUCCCAGUAAACGGCGGCCGUAACAAUAACGGUCCUAAGGUAGCGAAAUUCCUUGUCGGGUAAGUUCCGACCUGCACGAAUGGCGUAACGAUGGCCACACUGUCUCCUCCUGAGACUCAGCGAAGUUGAAAUGUUUGUGAUGAUGCAAUCUCCCCGCGGAAAGACGGAAAGACCCCAUGAACCUUUACUGUAGCUUUGUAUUGGACUUUGAACAGAUCUGUGUAGGAUAGGUGGGAGGCUUUGAAGUGUGGUCGCUAGAUCGCAUGGAGCCAACGUUGAAAUACCACCCUGGUGUGUUUGAGGUUCUAACCUAGGCCCGUAAUCCGGGUCGGGGACAGUGCAUGGUAGGCAGUUUGACUGGGGCGGUCUCCUCCCAAAGCGUAACGGAGGAGUUCGAAGGUACGCUAGGUACGGUCGGACAUCGUGCUAAUAGUGCAAUGGCAUAAGCGUGCUUAACUGCGAGACUGACAAGUCGAGCAGAUGCGAAAGCAGGACAUAGUGAUCCGGUGGUUCUGUAUGGAAGGGCCAUCGCUCAACGGAUAAAAGGUACUCUGGGGAUAACAGGCUGAUACCGCCCAAGAGUUCAUAUCGACGGCGGUGUUUGGCACCUCGAUGUCGGCUCAUCUCAUCCUGGGGCUGUAGCCGGUCCCAAGGGUAUGGCUGUUCGCCAUUUAAAGAGGUACGUGAGCUGGGUUUAAAACGUCGUGAGACAGUUUGGUCCCUAUCUUCCGUGGGCGCUGCAGAUUUGAGGAAGCCUGCUCCUAGUACGAGAGGACCGGAGUGGACACACCUCUGGUGUAUCGGUUGUCACGCCAGUGGCAUUGCCGAGUAGCUAUGUGUGGAAGAGAUAACCGCUGAAAGCAUCUAAGCGGGAAACUCGUUUCAAGAUGAGAUCUGCCGGGGCCUUGAGCCCCCUAAAGAGUCGUUCAAGACCAGGACGUUGAUAGGUCGGGUGUGGAAGCGCAGUAAUGCGUUAAGCUAACCGAUACUAAUUGCUCGUGCGGCUUGACCAA